rnacentral:misc_RNA from 1 species
GAUGAAGAACGUAGCGAAAUGCGAUAAGUAAUGUGAAUUGCAGAAUUCAGUGAAUCAUCGAAUCUUUGAACGCACAUUGCGCCCCUUGGUAUUCCGAGGGGCAUGCCUGUUCGAGCGUCAUAUUAACCACUCCCGCUUGCGGGGUCUUGGGCUUCGCCUCCGGGCGGGCCUUAAAAUCAGUGGCGGUGCCGUCGGGCUCUACGCGUGGUAAAUUUUCUCGCGAUAGGGUCCCGGUGGAUGCUUGCCAACAACCCCCAACUUCUUAAGGUUGACCUCGGAUCAGGUAGGGAUACCCGCUGAACUUAAGCAUAUCAAUAAGCGGAGGA